GACGAACGCUGGCGGCGGGCUUAACACAUGCAAGUCGAACGGAAAGGCCCUGCUUGUGUGGGGUUCUCGAGUGGCGAACGGGUGAGUAACACGUGAGUAACCUGCCCUGGACUUUGGGAUAACUUCAGGAAGCUGGGGCUACUACCGGAUAGGAGCUCCUGCUGCAGGGUGGGGGUUGGAAAUUUUCGGCGGUUGUGGAUGGACGCGCGGCUUAUCAGCUGGUUGGUCGGAGAGUGGCUUACCAAGGCUUUGGCGGGUCGCCGGCCUGAGAGGGUGAACGGGGACCAUGCGACUGAGGGACGGCGCAGUGGGGAACAGGAGGCAACAGUGGGGAAUCUUGCACAACGGGGGGGCGUGUGAUGAAGAAACGCCGGGUGUGGGAAGACCGUUUUGGGGUUGUAAACCGCAUUAGGCUGUGACGAAGCGUGAGUGACGGUAAUGAGUAAAGAAGCACCGGCUAACUACGUG
rnacentral:rRNA from 1 species